UUAAAUAGCCGCAGUAUUUUAACUGUGCAAAGGUAGCAUAAUAAUUAGUCUUUUAAUUGAGGUCUGGAAUGAAUGGUUAGACGAGAAAUACACUUUAUUGAUAAAAUUUUUUUGAAUUUGUUUUUUAAGUUAAAAUUCUUAAAUUUUUUAGAGGGACGAUAAGACCCUAUAGAUCUUUAAAAUAUUUAUUUUUUUUUUCUUUUUGUUGUUUUUUUAUUAAAUUUUUUAUAUUUUUUGGUUGGGGUGAUAUACAAAAUUUUGAACUUUGUUUUUUUUUUACAUUUAUUCAUGAAUUUUUUGAUCCUUUUUUUUGAUUAGAAGAUAAAGAUACCUUAGGGAUAACAGCGUUAUUUAUUUGGAGAGUUCUUAUCGAUGAAUAAGUUUGCGAC
rnacentral:rRNA from 1 species